rnacentral:tRNA from 1 species
UCCCUGGUGGCCUAGUGGUUAAGGAACUGGUAGUUGUCACUGCUGUGGUGCAGGUUUGAUCCCUGCCCUGGGAA